rnacentral:lncRNA from 13 species
AUGUUGUUUAUCCACAGUGUGCUGUUCUUGAUGCUUGUGGCCACAGCUGUGGCCCAAACAGGAGUUCCACGAAUAAGAUACAGGGUAGACCAGUGGACCAUCUCUGUGGAGACUCCACAGAGUUAUGACUCAGAUGAGCUUCAGCCCUAUGACUCAGAUGAGCUUCAGCCCUAUGACUCAGAUGAGCUUCAGACUUAUGCCUCAGAUGAGCUUCAGCCCUAUGAGUCGGAUGAGAUCCAACCCAUUGGAUCAGACAAGUCUCUUGGUGCCGAUGAACAAGGUGAGCUGAUGUUUUCUCAAUCAAUAAUCCCCUUUAGUGUGUUUGCGAAACUGUGGUUUGUAGUUUAGGCCAUUUGACUCUACGUUAUAUUUUUCAGGUGCGCUGAUUGAGUCUCCAGUCUGGGUUCUGUUUCUGGUGGUCCCUAUGGUGUUAUUGACUGCUAUGGGAGCUCUGGCUGUGGGUUACUACCUGUGUGUGUGGAGGGGAGGCAGACUAGGCUACCGGCCCCGCAGAGACCUCUUGACAAACGUUUAACCAAUUUGCUUUCUGUUUGGUUUGAAAAUAAAUGUUAGUUCCCUGACUCCUGCAUCUUGUAAAACCAUACUGCUGUGUAUGUCCAUUACAUGACACAAACACAAGACCUCGUAGCAGUCCCAGUAGCAAGCGAUUCCCUGACAGGAAACUACAUGGCACAACGCAUGCCAAAUCUGGACCUAGGCAGUUCUAGGUUGUCAAAAUGGUUUUCUUUGGGAUACACGUUCACCUUAUGUUUCUGUUAUGUUAGGGUUGUUGGUAAGCUGUCAUUUAGGACAAACUCAUUGACUUGUUUUGGUGUUGCAUUCAGGUGACUGACCUGAUGGUGCUCCUGAUUGCGAAACAUUACUGUGAUAAAGACUGCAAUCCAAAGGUUUUCUUUAUUUGAUGCUGAUUUUCAGAGCAACUUUAAAAAGAUACCCUUGCAUACCACCAGGGGUCGUUUUGUUCUAGUAUCACUAGGGAUAUUGGCGGUUUAAACCAUCUGUAUAUAGAACAGAUGGCAUGGGACCGCAUCAGACACUCACUACUGGUUUUUUCUUCCCUCAAACUCUGCUCCCAGGCAGUCGCUGUUUUUAUUUUCCCACUGGUCUAGCAUCCCUCAUUAUCAGAACUGUUGCGAUUGGCAGGUUGAAGAGGUGUGUCCAUGUGACUUAUUUGUUUGUGAACUGAACGUCCAGUCUCAAAUCCCAACACAUUCAUGAGGCUCACCCGACCAAUUAUUAGGAGGCCCAAGGAGAAAGAGUGGUGAUGAAUUGAAUUAAUCUUCCCAUAUGUGAUGGCUGGGGGUGUUCACAGGGGCUUGGAAAAGGGGAGCAUUGUUCAUCUGUCACUCCGAUAGCCACAUCCCUCUUUGAUUUGUGCCUGGGUAGUGAAGGCCAAGAGAACCCCCUCCCUUUUUUGCUUCCAUCCACAUACCUCGAGUCACUCCCCUCAUAAUACAUUUAGGACUCAACAGUGCCUAAAAUGACUUAACCGCAGCAUCUCUGCUCUGUGUAUUAUGUUUUUAGACUGUUAUAUUUACCACAGGCCUACCCUCACACAAAAUAAAUCAUAUGGAUUAGUAUAGGCUAGAACAUUUUGUUCACGGUAGAUUUAUAAACGGGUGAGUUCAUGGACAGAUACAAAUUAUUGCCCUCAAUUUUGAGGUCAGCAGAAGGCUACGUUUGGGUGGCAAUGUGUGUAGAUUCAUUAACAUCAUUCUCCCUCAGACCAAGUGGGGAAAAAAGAAAUGGUGCAUAUGAACUGACCACAAAAGAAAUGGGGGAAGGAACUUUUUUCCCACUAAUUGGUCUUUUCACGUCAGGUCAUUUUCAGAACUGAUCUGAUUAGUCAAAAAUAUCAGAAUUGGCUGCCUGUGUAAACAACACUAAGCUAAUAAACUUUCGGCUUCAUAUUUAAAAAUGGUGACCUUACAUGGAUCUUCAACUGGGUAAGGCUACUUUCACAAUACAUUGCUUUUGUCAAGCAGACAAAAAAAAUCUAUGUAUAUUAAAGAUACCGUACAGUCAUCCCAUUUCCCAAGUAAAAAUAGCCUUUCAAUGACAAUCAUCCCCAGUAAUAUUUUUACAGUAUUACAAUGCUCAGAAUCUUCUCUCAUCGCUAACUUCCUGGAAACCUGAAAGAACAGGGUGAGUUGGGGAGGAGCUUAUAUUCAUGAGCUCACCUAAACUGACAGCUCUUUGAAAUGUCUUGGUUUAUGUUGUUACCUGGCAACAACCACAAUUGGCCAUUCCAAGCCUAAAUCCUAUGCCCCAACCCUAUUUUCAUUGCAAAAUACUCUCAUGGUAAACAGCUGAUUAUGGAGGAUUGUAAUAUCAGACAAUAAGUAGGAAAACACUUGCAUUUAUAUUGUUUUGUAACUAAUUACAGAAUACACUUCAAAUCAAAUUUGAUUUGUCACAUACACAUGGUUAGCAGAUGUUAACGCGAGUAGUGAAAUGCUUGUGCUUCUAGUUCCGACAGUGCAGUAAUAUCUAACAAUUCCCCAACUACCUAAUGCACACAAUUCUAAAGGGGUGAAUGAGAAUAUGUACGUGUAAGUAUAUGGAUGAGCGAUGGCCGAGCGGCAUAGGCAAGGUGCAAUAGAUGGUAUAAAAUACAGUAUAUACAUGUGAUAUGAGAUAUGUAAACAUUAAAGUGACAUUUAUUUAGAGUGGCAUUGUAUAAAUUGACUAGUGAUCCAUUUAUUAAAGUGAGAUUGAGAUUGGGUCUCAAUGUAGGCAGCAGCCUCUCUGAGUUAGUAAUUGCUGGCCUUGAGAUAGAAGCUGUUUUUCAGUCUCUCAGUCCCAGCUUUGAUGCACCUGUACAGACCUCGCCUUCUCGAUGGUAGCACUGUGAACAGGCAGUGGCUCGGGUGGUUGAUGUCCUUGAUCUUUUUAGCCUUGCUGUGACAUCGGGUGCUGUAGGUGUCAUGGAGGGCAGAUAUUUUGCACCCAGUGAUGCGUUGUGCAGACCGCUCCACACUCUGGAGAGCCUUGCGGUUGAGGGUGGUGCAGGUGCCGUACCAGGCUAAGAUACAGCUCGAUAGGAUGAUCUUGAUUGUGCAUCUGUAAAAGGUUGUCAGGAUUUUAGGUGAGAAGCCAAAUUUCUUCAGCCACUUAUUGGUAAUCAAGCCCACUAAUGCUGUCGUCUGCAAACUUGAUGAUUGAGUUGGAGGUGUGCAUGGCCACACGGUCAUGGGUGAACAGGGAGUACAGGAGAGGGCUGAGCACGCACCCUUGUGGGGCCCCAGUGUUGAGGGUCAGCAAAGUGGAGAUAUUGUUUCCUACCUUCAACACCUGGGGGCGGCCUGACAAAGUCCAGGACCCAAUUGCACAGGGCGGGAGUUGAGACCCAGGGCCUCCAGCUUGCUGAUGAGCUUGGAGGGUACUAUGGUGUUGAAUGCUGAGCUGUAGUCAAUGAACAGCAUUCUUACAUAGGUAUUCCUUUUGUCCAGAUGGGAUAAGGCAGUGUGCAGUGUGAUGGCGGUUGCGUCGUCUGUGGACUUGUUGGGGCAGUAUGUAAACUGAAGUGGGUCUAGGGUGGCCGGUAAGGUGGAGGUGAUAUGAUCCUUGACUAGUCUCUCAAAGCACUUCAUGAUGACAGAAGUGAGUGCUACGGGGCGGUAGUCAUUUAGUUCAGUUAUUUUUGGCUUCUUGGGUACAGGAACAAUGGUAGCCAUCUUGAAGCAUGUGGGGACAACAGACUGGGAUAGGGAGCGAUUUAAUAUGUCCGUAAACACACCAGCCAGCUGGUC